CCAAAGUUAAACUAGGACACUUUGUUUUAAUGUUCUCUUCCAAUCAUGACCGAGAAUCAUGACCAUGUUACACUAUUCAUUGCUUUAUUGACCACAUACUCUUCGUUAGCUCACAAUUCAUCAGCUGAUUGGCCGUAAACAGUUCAGACAUAUAAUUUUGAAGCAGGGUGAAAGGAAAACAGGGCACCAAGUAUAGCUAAACUAUUUUGUGAGACUCACAUGAAGGAUAUAGCCUUUUUGCUAAUUCGACAACCUCGGCCGAACAUGACUAAUGGUCCAUCAUAAUAUAUAGAAGCAUCAGGAAGCACUGUAAUCGCCAAUGAAGAAUGACAUCAAUACGAACAACAAUGGUGUCCCUCAAUUGAAGCUUAAUAAACAUUAUCUUUCAUAGUUGUCUCCUUUUCUAGAUAGAUAAGGGGAACUACAUUUGUCAUAUAAGGAGUGCUUUUGAAUUAAAAAAAUUGAAGGAUACUUUAAUUCCAUUAUUGUAUGUCGAGAUGUUGUUAAUUUAUUUGAUUUUUACUAAUAAAAGAAGCUAUGGCCCUCUCAA